rnacentral:rRNA from 1 species
UACGUAGGGCGCAAGCGUUGUCCGGAAUUAUUGGGCGUAAAGAGCUCGUAGGCGGCUUGUCACGUCGGGUGUGAAAGCCCGGGGCUUAACCCCGGGUCUGCAUUCGAUACGGGCAGGCUAGAGUGUGGUAGGGGAGAUCGGAAUUCCUGGUGUAGCGGUGAAAUGCGCAGAUAUCAGGAGGAACACCCGUGGCGAAGGCGGCUCUCUGGGACGGUACUGACGCUGAGACGCGAAAGCGUGGGGAGCGAACAGG